UUAAAUUAUAUAAAUCAGUACUGUGCCUUCAG
rnacentral:piRNA from 1 species